GUUGCAAGUAAUCAGAAUGGCACAUUCAUACUAGGGCAGUGACACCAGUCUAUAGAUCCUAUAGUCAUCGUGUCUGUAGUGGUAUAUUUUUCACAGUCUCAUUCUACGGUGAAGACAGGUGGUAAAUUCUAUCUGGACAUCAGUCAAGGCACGCCUUCUCAUCUUUGCACCCAGCACAGGACUAUAAGUGUCUUAUUACUGGUGAAAGCUUGGUAACCAUUUGUAACAUUGAUUUUACUUCAGUUUUGGCCUGGCAACCUCAUUUUUUCCAUGUCUGUUGUCCUCAAGCUGAAAUUCCAGAACUGCAGUAAUUCUAGAAACACCAGCAUUAACUAAAUCUUUUGUCAGUGAGAGAAUAACAGCUCUCAAUGCAAGUGCCAACAUAAAGCAAAACAGUUAGUUAUUAUUCAACACGCCUUCUGAAGAGAUUUUUUUUAAAAAUUAGUGGUGGCUUGUCUUUUUCCCCCUAAGUCACCCACACUACAUAUACCAUACCACCGUCUGCACUGACAUAAAUAAUAAUGUUACAAAAGGCAGUGAGGAAAAGUUAAGAAAGAGCAGUUAGUCUUGUCCCCUCUCCCAAAGCCUAUUAAAGGCUGAGUGGAGGGUACGAGACAGAAGUCAGAAUGUUUAGUGCUAUCCAGGGAAGGGCCAGCUGCUACACUCCGAGGUUUGCCGCAUUCUUUAAGAAUGGAAAAGAAAGAUUAGCCGCAAUUUUGGAGCUUGGUGAAGUGAACAGAUUUAAUGCCUCCCAAACUGCUGGUUAUAUGGAUUUACAGAAUAAUAUAAUUUCAGUCAAUCUGCUACUACUUGGAGAUCAGGUCCUGUGAUUUAAAAACUUCUUUUACAAUUCACAUAGCCUUUAUGUAGAUGGCAGGGAACCCUAGACUACAAGCUGCGCAAGGCGUGUAUUAAGAACCAGGCAAAGCUCAAAAUACGUGUAAACAGGGGAGGGAUAUUACGGAGUCAGAAAAUGAGGUCUUCAAUAUGCCAUGCCUUAAUUUUCUUUCUCUCCUGUGUCUACAGUUCUUUACCGACAGUAUCUACCCUUAACGUUCUUAGUAUUCACUCAAACUUUAGGCAUAGCUUACAAGCUUCUGACUAUAGCAGGAAGAAUAAAGACGAAGGAGACUGUACCCUGUGAGGUGCAUUUCUCUCACAGUUUAAAUACAAAACAUUACUGUGCACCUUUUCUGUCAAGCUAAAUCAGCACGUAUCAGAUGAAACAGGAAGUACUUCAAAUAUUCGAAUAGAACAAUACGUUUACCUUGGACCUCUGGAAUCCCGCCCUUAGUUUCCGUCUCCAUGUCAAGCCUCUACAUAACACUAAAUUUCUUCAAAGGCUCAAGGGGAACAUAAAGCAGCUUGGAUUAAUUCAUUACACUCUAGUGGGGUUUUGAAAGUGUUAGAGAAUUUCAACAAAUUCCAAAGGGUCAUUCUGGAAGCUAGCUGAAAAUGAAGCAUCUUGAAUCACAAACCCAGAUUCUAACCGGAGCACCAGAGGUGAUUCAAGACCCGUGAACUACGAUUACGAAAUAACAAGUGUUGGCCAGGAUGUGGAGAACGUGCAGUUCUUGUGGACUCUUUAUGGGAAUGUAACAUGGUGCAACUGCUACAGGAAACAGAAUGGAGAUUCCUCAACAAACAACAUAGAACUGCUAUACAAGCCCAUGUGAUACCAUAAAGGAAACAGCUCUGCCCCACCACAUCCUUCCGCCGUGAUGCUCCUGCCUUGGAGCCAGCUUACCAUGGACUGAAUGCUCCGAAACCGUGAGCCCAACGAGCCUCUCACUCCUCCUUCAAAUCACAAGUGUCAGGUAUUUCUGUCCUCUAAUGGGAAAGCUGAGCAACACAUCCAGCAGUCCCACUUAUGGGAUAUUAGAAUCGCACAAAGGAAUUUGCCCACUUUUGCAGACAGAUACAACACUCAAGAGGAGGAAGCAACACAAAUGUCCAUCAAUGGACCAAUGAAUAAACAGAACGUGGCACAUAUGUGCAAUGGAAUAGUGUUCAGCAUUAAAAAAAAGAAAUUCUGUCAUUUGCUACAACUUUCAUGAAACUUGAGGACAUUUUGCUAAAUGAAAUAAGGCAGUUGUGAAAGGGCAAAUUCUGUAUUUUCUCAUUUAUAUAAGGUGUGUAUGAAGAGCUCUGGAGAUCUACUGCACAACUGUGUGAAUACAUGGAACAUCUGAAUCGUACACUCAAAAAUGAUUAAGAUAGUAAAUUUUAUAUUAUGUGCUUUUUUU